GACCACCUGGAUUCCCCGCGAAACAGAUUAAGGCCAUACGGACAGCCGGGUCGACUGCCGA
rnacentral:sRNA from 1 species